rnacentral:ncRNA from 1 species
GUAUUCGUAGAAAGUUGAGAUGGUUGGCAUCUCCCCCGACAGGGACGGGAAUAGUCUUCGGGCUUUACCUGUGUUACCACACAUCCGGUUAAGGCUUCCCACCGGUGGAUCUUACCCCAUGUUUUU